AACGUGCCCCAAGGCCGAGGAUAGCCCGGAGAAAUCCGGGGUAAUACUCGAUGACCCCAUCGGAUCGCAUGUUCUGAUGGGCAAAGGCUUGCCACCUUGGGAUCGGGAAACGCCCUAUCAGGUUGUUGGUGAGGUAACGGCUCACCAAGCCUAAGACGGGUAGCGGGUGUGAGAGCAUGACCCGCCGCAUCGGGACUGAGACACUGCCCGGACUCCUACGGGAGGCUGCAGCAACGAAUCUUCCGCAAUGCGCGAAAGCGUGACGGAGCAAUGCCGCGUGCAGGAUGAAGCCCCUCGGGGUGUAAACUGCUGUCAGGGCUUAGGAAUUUUGACCAAACCCAAAGGAAGGGCCGGCUAACUUCGUGCCAGCAGCCGCGGUAAUACGAAGGGCCCGAGCGUUAAUCAGAAUCACUGGGCUUAAAGCGUGCGCAGGCGGAAACGUCAGUGUCUUGUGAAAUCCCACGGCUCAACCGUGGAAUUGCAGGGCAUACUGCGUUUCUUGAGGUCGGUAGAGGUCGCCGGAACUCUAGGUGUAGCGGUGAAAUGCGUAGAUAUCUAGAGGAACGCCGAAGGUGAAGACAGGCGACUGGGCCGAUUCUGACGCUCAGGCACGAAAGCGUGGGGAGCAAACAGGAUUAGAUACCCUGGUAGUCCACGCCGUAAACGUUGUGCACUAGAUCCUGGAGGUACUGACACCGUCGGGGUCGAAGAUAACUUGCUAAGUGCACCGCCUGGGGAGUACGGUCGCAAGGCUAAAACUCAAAGGAAUUGACGGGGGCUCACACAAGCGGUGGAGCAUGUGGCUUAAUUCGAGGCAUCGCGAAGAACCUUACCUGGGUUUGACAUGCUUGGAUUAGCCUGUCGAAAGACAGGUGACGCUAAUUCUAGUGGAACUUGCACAGGUGCUGCAUGGCUGUCGUCAGCUCGUGCUGUGAAGUGUCGGGUUAAGUCCCUUAACGAGCGACACCCAUCCGGGUACUUGCCAUCAGGUCAAGCUGAGCAGUCUAGCGGGACUGCCGUGUGUCAAACCGGAGGAAGGUGGGGAUGAGGUCAAGUCGUCAUGUCCUUUAUGCCCAGGGAUG
rnacentral:rRNA from 1 species